AAAUGGUUUUAUUUUCGCCAUACAUUUCCUUGAAACAGUCACACAACCGUCUUGUUUUUCAAAAUAUUCAGGGAUUUACCAUUAAGAUCAGUAGGUUUUGACAUGUUCGGAGGUUGGAGGUAUUGACACACACUACUCGUUAUUUAAAAGUUUGGACCCUUUUUCAUUUAUAUACAAGAUGUCAGAAAGGAUGAAUGACUGGAACCCACUUGAAUCAUGGAAGAGAGUAACUUGCAUCAUGAUGAUUCGUGCCGGCCAUCAAAAUAAGGAUAUUAUGACUGCUGCCCAAUGCUCCCUGAACAAAGUAAAAACAAUCAGGCAUGAACUAGAGACUUGCAAUGGUGACUACGAAGAUGUAGCAAGAAGAAAGAUCCCUAGCAGACGAUCUGAUCGCGUUCGUACAGCAGAAUUCCAAGCAAAUCUGCAGGAACAGGUGUUGAAGAACCCUGGCAUUGGAAUUCGGGCUUUGUAACGUGAAAUGAAUGUUGCAGCCUCUACUAUGAAGCUUGCACUCAACGAAGACCUUCGCUACUACUCAUACAAGCGGAUUUUCUUUUUCCUUACAAAACUGUCUAAUUUAUCCCGAACACCCUGUAUAUAUAUAUAGGCUCAAAAUUCCUUAUAUAUUUCAUUCUUGGAUUACAGAAAUCUAACUUUAAAAAAUCGUAUUCAUUUGAAAAACUUUACAUUUAGUCUUAUAUUUCUAGAGACGUUAUAAUAAACUUGCGUUAUAUAAAUAA